rnacentral:tRNA from 1 species
GGGUGUAUAAUUCAAAGGUAGAAUAUACGGCUUUUAACCGUCCUAUAUGGGUUCAAUUCCCAUUGCGCCUA